ensembl:lncRNA
CUUUUUUUGUGGUAUAGUUCUAUAAAAAUGGAACGUGGCCGCCGCACCAUCACCUGUUGGUUUGUGGCGUCCUAAUAUGAAGACUCAGGUUGGGCAUUUUCCACUUUGUGUUUCGAAGCCGCUUCCUCACUGACCAACAACAUGUCCCCAAAACAUCUGUUUCUUGGAGCUGCCAUCACUUAAGAAAUGGGCCUGAAUGUCUUGGCCCAACUGGAGUCGAUGGCUGUUUUGAUGGAGGUCGCCGCCAUGAUGUCACCUGUUGGUUUCUGAAGUCACGUUUUGAACUUUUAUGAGGCGCCUGAUGGCAGCAAGCAACUCUUAAUAUAUGCAAAACAAACCAAAGUACACAAAUCUCCAGUAAAGCUCUUUUUUAUCUACUUGGUUCAGAUGAAAGGUGUUUGAAACGAAGCCAUCAGCAUUUUUACUGUUAAAACAAUCCAGCUGUUCUCUUUCUUUCUUUGUGCUCCACUUUAACGCUCAUCCAGCAGAUGAGCCUCCUCUGGUGUUAGAUUUAGAUCUGGGCCAAAGGAGAGGCUCAUAAUCACAUUUAUGUGAAAAUUAUCACAAGUUACUGCCUCGGGGUCCGGCCAGAAGGCCACAGUCAUUACACAUUUGUGAGGCAGUUAAUAUCUUCUUGUUUUACUGCCGCCGUUUCUUCCACUGGCUCGCCGGCGGUGUUAGAGACUCCGUUUGUCUCUGUGCCUUGAAUGAAAAGUGUGAAAAUAUUCAGCAGCAUUUUGUUCUCGUUUGUUCCAGAAACGUCCCAGCUGUCCCCGAGCUGGUGCUCAUGCGUCUGAGUCUGGAGCGUCUGGAGCCGCAGGCCGACCAAUCAGAAGCUGAACGAUUAGUUCAGUUGUUUUUCUCUAAGGUUGAAUCAUAUUUAACAUCAGCACUUCUUAACGGUAGGACUCGGUCACACAGACCGGUCUGCAAACAUCUGGCAGCCGCCGGCCGUUGCAGCGGUUGCCCAUAGUUUAUUUGGGUGACACCAACCAAAGCAAGCGGGUGGAGGUUAUUGGUACAGCACCAUCCUCCAGCAGCUUCCAGCAACCGUCACCAACCAGGGCACAAACAUCCCAGCGCUGCUGUGGCUCCACAGGACGUCAGCAGCAGGUGUAGAUGCUGCUUCCUGUUACCAGACAGAACUGGCUCUGGUUCGGCCUUCAGGGGAGGACUGCAGAGGAACUCUCAGAUCUGAGUGGAUGAGACUGCAUGAUUUAUUCAGACUCUCCAAACAGCUUCUGUUCAGACAGUUAAUGAACUUAGCAGCGUUUAUGCUUUUAGCUGAUGAUGGCGGUGUUUUCUUACUGUUCCAGCUCGUGAAGCACCGACACACUCGUGUGCUUUAUCGUCAGGGUAACACGAUGCUGAAAAGCCCUUCUGGUUAUGUGUAAUUUCCCAGCAUGCAUUACACAUGGCCGGGAAAGCCUGGGCAGCUCACGGCGAUCGUGUUGAGCAGAGUAAGAUGAUCCCUCGAGCUGCGUCCGGCGAGCUGAUUGUGUUUGUCUGAUUGGAUUGGUGUCCUGGACGGGAUUAGGGAUGUCCGAGCUGAUAACCAGGAGUGGCGGUGAUGUCUGCUGUCCGCUUCCUCUCCGUCUGUAGCUCUCUUCCUCGCUAUCAAGGCCUUUCUAUCUCUGUCCUCUCCCCGUCUCAUUUCACCCUCCACUGCAUACAUUGCACCGCCUCUUCAGUUUAGAUAGAAGAAGAGUUUGUGGGUAACAAGCCUUUGACUUUUCACCCUCUUCACUCUGCGGUUUCUUUCAACCUGCCAUAUUUGCUAUUUAUUAACCCCAAUUAAAUGAUAAAACUUCUCAGGUAGUCACUGCUCCGUCUUCUCAUUCGGCUCUGACUGAAACCAAAAGAUCUUUUUAGUGUUUUCCUUCUGUAAGUCCUUUAACCUCAGCUUCCACCUGUGUGCUUUUUCUCAGGCGGGACUCUUUUUCAUGACUAAAGAUGGGAAGUGAUCAGAGCCACGAGAGGAAGGCUGAGGAGGCCGAGAAGGAAACUGAAAAACACGAGCAGUGUGACACAACUGAGGACGCGACUCCUGAAGAGGUGCCAGGAGAGCUGCCCCAGUGCAGGAUGGGAAACAGGAGGGUGGACAGCAUGUGUUUCAUGAUCUCGUGCACUAACUGGUACUGAACUGGUCCCCGUGUGUUGGGCUCGUGAUGAAACAGACGCACACUGGAGGAUCUGUCUGCGUCUGUGCUGCUACAACAACAAAUGCACCGGACUUCACUUUCCUUCAACUCGAAAACAAGACUAAUGAUAAGAGGAAGGGAUGGAAAAGGAUUUCAAACGAUGGGUCACAAGAGUCGUGGACUGUGUGGGAGAUGCUUGGAUUUCUGGUCAUGCCAAUAAAGACUGAACAAAAGUAAAGAAGUGUUGCUCGUCAUGCUCUGUGGGUCAGAGAGACGCGAGAGCUGAACUAAGGUUGCUCACUUCAGCUGUUGAUGUUCAAAAAGAAUUAGACUAGAAAGGAAAGGAAAGGAGGAUGGAAGAGGGAAAGGAAGGAAAGAAGGAGAUUGGGAAAGGGAAGGAAGUAAGGAAAGGAGAAGGAGGCAUAAAAAGGAAGAAAGCUGACAACGGAAGGAAAGGAAGGAAGAAAACGAAAGAAGAAAGGGGGUUAGGGAAGAGGCAGGAAGGAAGGGAAAACGGAUGACAGAAAGAGAGGAAAGGAAGGAAGAAAGGAAAGGAAAUGAGAGUACCUAAGGAAGGAAUGAAACGGGAAGAAGAAGACUAAGAAGGAAAGGGAACAAAGAAGCAGGUAGGAACAAAGGAAGGAAAGAAGGAUGAAAUAAGGAUAGCAAAGGAGAAGUAAGGAAUGAGACCAGAAAGGGCAAAUGAAUUAAGGAGUGAAGGAGGAAAGGGAAAAUCAAAGAAGGGAGCAAAUAUGAAAGGAAGUAAAGAAGGAAGAAAAGAAGGGAACAAAGAAAAGGAGACCUUUGGGUCUAAUUUGUUUCACUCAGAGCUGUAAAAAUGCAAACACACUGCAGCGUGUUCAGAGUUCAGCAGGAACGACAUUAAUCAGCAGACCUAAAGACGUUUCAGUUGAAGACGUGAUGGAUUCAUCAGGAACAUCAUUAUUCAAGUCUGUGAUAAGAUUAAUGCUGCAUAUCUGACACUUACUGUCUCAUAAUUAUGAGAAAGUCUUCAGGUGGUUAUAAAUCAUCUGUGCUUGAGAGGACGGGGCGCCGAAUGAUUUAAGUUUAAUGAAUAUGAGCUCGGGUUCUAACACAAGUGGCUCCUUUUUCCUUUUUUUCAACAAAGUCGUUCGGAGAACGUCACAAAAGCCCCGACUGGUGUGAACAGACGGGGAAUUUUACAGGAAACAAGACGGAUGACGUCCCAGCCGGAGACAACAUGAGCCUCAGUUUGGUUAUUAUAUCAGAUAUUACAGCUCGACUGAAAUAGUAAAGGAAAUAAAGAAGGAAACAAUAAGGAAGAAAAGAGGGGAAAAGGAAGCAGAAGGAAGAAUGACAGAAGUAGAAAGGAAGGAAAUAUGAAAAGGAAAGGGUAUGAGGAUGAAGAAGUUGAAAAGGGAACAACAAAUGGAAAGGAACAAAUGAAAAAGGAAAGGAAGCAAGGAAUUAAGAAUCAGUGAUGGAAAUAAAGAAGUAUGGAAGGAAAGAAAGGAUGAAGGAAAGACAUUAGAGAAGAUGAUGGAAGGGAGGAAGAAAAGGAAACGAAUGAACAAACUUAAACUGUAGUUCCUCCUGUGACCACUUGAGGCUCCAGCAGUGACUCAGUGCCUGUAAACUCUGUGCUAUGGAUCGAUUCCUCCUUCCUAACCCUGCACGGGGUUUACAGGCUUUAUAACCCACCCAGCUGAUGGGUCCAGUCUGUGUCAGAAAGCAGGAAUCAGGACUAGAAGAUAAGCCUGGUAUUAAAAUGUCCUUUCAUGCGCUUUAACUCGUCCUGAGCAGCCGCCUACAGUGUCUCACAUGGUGGUAGAACUUUUAAAGUUUACCCAGAAUGCACUUUUUUGGUUUCCUCUGCUGAACUAUGAGAAAUCAGAUCAAUAACGUAGCAACGCGUGCUUCUGUGUCUCUACAUCACAGACAUUACGACAGGAAGACGCCCUUUUCACGUGUCACGGUUCUGGUACAAAUAACAGAAAUGUGAAUUUUGCACAAAUAUAAGCUAACAAUAACUUUGAUAACGCUCAUGUUGGGCAGACUUACUCACUACUUCCUCUUGUGGUCCAAAAUGGCAUUACACCAGAGAAUCCUGGUGCUGUUUUAACUUUGGGGAUCUGUUUUAGACAGAACAUCAUGGAUGUUGCUUCUUCACGUUCUCCUGGUGGGUUCAGUUAAUUUUACAAUUAAAGAAACAUCUUUUCAUUUGACCUUCAAGAUGAGAAAAAUAGCAGCUGUUCAGUGAGGCAGGAGGACAGAGCGUAAGUCUUUCCAUAGCAGAGUGUGGACGCGUGUCCUUGUGAGACGUUAGCAGGUCGACUCCUCAAAAACCUCCGAGGGGAACCCUUAACUUGCUAAAUGGUGAUGCACUGACCCAUUUCGAGCAAUUACAGUUUCAGCCAUAAAGCGUAUGAAGUCAAAAGCAUAUGAACGACCCAAUGAUCCAUUUGGACGUAAUAAAAGAAGUCAAAUUUUCUCCAAAUGACACAUUAAAUCUCCAUGAAAUUAAAACGGAGUUGGAAGGCAUCAGUGUCUGAGCUCGUCUGCUCCGUCACAUUACUGGGCAGGUGGCUGAACAUAUUGCAUUUCAUCAGAAGAGCAGCAUACGUGUCCCUAAAGGGGCAUUUCUGCAAAAUACCACAAGGCAGAUUUAUGAUGCACAUCUGUUAGAUUUUUCCUGCUCGUGUUGCAGAUGCUCCGGAGCAGUUAACGAACCUGCGAAAAAUUCAUCCCCGAUCAGGACUAUUAAAAAAAAAAUGAAAUGUGCAGAUUAAUGCAUGUACAGAAAACACAGGGAAAAUGCUUGUUUUCCUUUUUAGAUCAAUAAAAAUAUGUCUGUUAUGCAGCAGCUGUCUGACACAGUCGUGAUGAAGCAGGGAAACGGCAUUAAAGCGAACACAGAAAGAUCAAAAGUUAGAUUAACGACGUUCCUGAUAUACAGAAGGAAAAGGAGCACAGCAGGAAAAAAUUAAAUGAUGCCCUCAAACAGC